rnacentral:rRNA from 1 species
GAUGAACGCUUGCUACAGGCUUAACACAUGCAAGUCGAGGGGCAGCAUUUCAGUUUGCUUGCAAACUGGAGAUGGCGACCGGCGCACGGGUGAGUAACACGUAUCCAACCUGCCCUUUACUCGGGGAUAGCCUUUCGAAAGAAAGAUUAAUACCCGAUGGCAUAAUGAUUCCGCAUGGUUUCAUUAUUAAAGGAUUCCGGUAAAGGAUGGGGAUGCGUUCCAUUAGGUUGUUGGUGAGGUAACGGCUCACCAAGCCUUCGAUGGAUAGGGGUUCUGAGAGGAAGGUCCCCCACAUUGGAACUGAGACACGGUCCAAACUCCUACGGGAGGCAGCAGUGAGGAAUAUUGGUCAAUGGGCGCUAGCCUGAACCAGCCAAGUAGCGUGAAGGAUGAAGGCUCUAUGGGUCGUAAACUUCUUUUAUAUAAGAAUAAAGUGCAGUAUGUAUACUGUUUUGUAUGUAUUAUAUGAAUAAGGAUCGGCUAACUCCGUGCCAGCAGCCGCGGUAAUACGGAGGAUCCGAGCGUUAUCCGGAUUUAUUGGGUUUAAAGGGAGCGUAGGUGGACUGGUAAGUCAGUUGUGAAAGUUUGCGGCUCAACCGUAAAAUUGCAGUUGAUACUGUCAGUCUUGAGUACAGUAGAGGUGGGCGGAAUUCGUGGUGUAGCGGUGAAAUGCUUAGAUAUCACGAAGAACUCCGAUUGCGAAGGCAGCUCACUGGACUGCAACUGACACUGAUGCUCGAAAGUGUGGGUAUCAAACAGGAUUAGAUACCCUGGUAGUCCACACAGUAAACGAUGAAUACUCGCUGUUUGCGAUAUACAGUAAGCGGCCAAGCGAAAGCAUUAAGUAUUCCACCUGGGGAGUACGCCGGCAACGGUGAAACUCAAAGGAAUUGACGGGGGCCCGCACAAGCGGAGGAACAUGUGGUUUAAUUCGGUGAUACGCGAGGAACCUUACCCGGGCUUAAAUUGCAGUGGAAUGAUGUGGAAACAUGUCAGUGAGCAAUCACCGCUGUGAAGGUGCUGCAUGGUUGUCGUCAGCUCGUGCCGUGAGGUGUCGGCUUAAGUGCCAUAACGAGCGCAACCCUUAUCUUCAGUUACUAACAGGUCAUGCUGAGGACUCUGGAGAGACUGCCGUCGUAAGAUGUGAGGAAGGUGGGGAUGACGUCAAAUCAGCACGGCCCUUACGUCCGGGGCUACACACGUGUUACAAUGGGGGGUACAGAAGGCAGCUAGCGGGUGACCGUAUGCUAAUCCCAAAAGCCUCUCUCAGUUCGGAUCGAAGUCUGCAACCCGACUUCGUGAAGCUGGAUUCGCUAGUAAUCGCGCAUCAGCCAUGGCGCGGUGAAUACGUUCCCGGGCCUUGUACACACCGCCCGUCAAGCCAUGAAAGCCGGGGGUACCUGAAGUACGUAACCGCAAGGAGCGUCCUAGGGUAAAACUGGUAAUUGGGGCUAAGUCGU